GUCCUAUGUUCAGAAACAUUCAAAGCAGAACAUCUUUUACAACCAAUUGCAGUGUUGGAAGAUAAUUACUUUGCUUAUUUUGUCUCCCCUCUCUGCAAAUACAGUCUGGCGGAGGUAAUUGAAAACAAGAACUUUCCUGACAGAGAAAGUUUGACUGAGGCUCAAAGACUGGGGAUCUGCCAGGAGCUACUGCAAGGACUACAAGAACUCCAUUCACGCGGGAUUUUGCACAGAGACCUGAAGCCCGAAAACAUUUUGUUUGAUAUCAGCAACAAAUUGUUUAUCGCAGAUUUUGGAGCAAGCAGGAAACUGGAUUUGGCACAAUCAGCUUUGCAGUCUCAAAUGGCUGGAUCUUUGUCUUGGUCAAGUUAUGAAGAUGUUUGAGGCAUGCAAUACAAAUACAAGAAAGAGUCAGAUAUCCAGCUGUCUCCAAAGGCGUUUCAGAGAAUUUGGCAGUACAUCCAACUAGCCUCACAACCGCAGACCACGUGUAACCACACCAGCCCAGGACCUCCACAUCCAGCAUGUUCACUUCCAAGAUGGUCUGAGACCAGUCACUCGGACAGCUGCUGAAACAAUCGGUUUGCAUAACCAAAGAAUUUGUGCACAAACUGUCAGAAACCGUCUCAGGGAAGCUCAUCUGCAAGCUUGUCAUCCUCAUCGGGGUCUCCACCUGACUCCAGUUCGUCGUCGUAACCGACUUGAGUGGGCAAAUGCUCACAUUCGAUGGCGUCUGGCACGUUGGAGAGGUGUUCUCUUCAUGGAUGAAUCCCGGUUUACACUCUUCAGGGCAGAUGGCAGACAGCGUGUGUGGUGUCGUGUGGACAACAGGGUGCCUGGUGCAUUACAUACUGACAGAUGGAGAGCACCCCUAUCAAGCAACUACACCCUACUCCAACGAUCCACUGGCGUUAUUUCAAAAUCUCAGAGCGGGCACCUUUACUCUUCAGUGCGAGGAAAGGCAUCAAGGUAUCAUUGGCAGAAUGCUGUGUAAAUCGACAGAAGCAUGCCCUACCAUUGAAGAAUGCCUUCAAGCCAUCACAAGUUUCACACACCAAGCUGAUCACAAUGGAGUCACAAACAACAGUAAUAACAAUGGAAAUAAAGACCAAACCCACAUAGCCAAUUGCUCUCCUCAAGCAUCAAAUGAGAUUGACACUCAACACAGUGCCAACAGUGAUCAGCCAGGGAGUGUCUGCAAUGUAGUGAUGGAUUCCUCUUCUCACAUUGAAGAUGAUACAGAAAUAGAACCACAGAUCUCCCUUUCCCUUGAUAUGUCAGAAGAAGAAGAGGAUAUUGAUGAUGAACCGGCAGAAGUAGAUGAUGAAGUAGCCAAGAAAGUCAUCACAAAAAAGCAGUUAAGACUGGGAUGAAAACGGAUGAAAAUGUCCUUGAAUGCAGUUUGAAGGGUGUCAAAGUGAAAAUGUCCUCAAACACCCCACACAAACGUGCCUAUUACAAGAAAAAUUAUUGCCUCUAUUGUGAGAAGCCUUUCGGAAAAGUUACAAGACACCUGAUGCGAAAACAUCAAGAUGAAGUUGACAUUGCAAAGGCACUUGCACACAAGCAAGGAUCCACGAUGCGCAGUUUUCUUCUGAGCAAAAUAAGGAACAAGGGAAAGUACAUACAUAACUGUUCAGUCAAAUCCGCACGUCAAGGACAAAUGGUACCAAAAGACAAACAACCUACUUGUUGUCAGCAACAGACUUUCUGCCAUGCUAUUUUUGUUUGGUUAUGUACAUCAGAACAGAUCUCUGGAGGCAUCAAAGGCGUUGCAAAUUGAGACCAGACGGGCCAGUGAAACGAAAAGUUCAGACAUAUUGCUCCUUCCUCUUGCCAAUGGACCAUCCCGUUUCCGAUGGACUUAAAAAAAUUCUGGAGGACAUGACAUAUGAUGCUGUUACACGACGGGUGAAAUCCAACCAACUGAUUCUGUCAUUGGGUGAGAGGAUGUUCCUGAAAAAUGGAGAAGUUGGAUGCCAUCGAGCAGAUAUGAGAAAUAAAAUGCGAGAACUUACCAGACUUGUUCUGGUGGCAAGAGAUCUUGACAAAGACACUGUUUUCCUGAAGGACUUGAUUACCCCGGCUAAAUUUAACACUGUGCUUGCGGCAGUGAAAAAGAUGACAGGAUUUGACCACCUAACAAACAGAUUUGCAGUUCCCUCAACUGCACUAAAACUACGCCAUUCCCCGAUGAAGGUCUGAUAUAUUUUGUAGGGAGAGGCUCUGCGACUAGAGGAUGACAUCUUAAAGGCACAAGCAGAACAUUUCAGCAAAUUAAUUCAACUGGAAUGGACAACCCACGUGCCAUCAAAUGCAUUAAAAACGUUGUACCAGAGGAAAUGGAACAAGCCACAAGUACUGCCUCUUGCCAAGGACAUAAAGAAGCUCCAGGACCACUUGAAAACUGCUGUGGAGGUCAGCAGAAAGUCCUUUUAGA